GACGAACGCUGUCGGCGUGCUUAACAUAUGCAAGUCGAACGAUGAUGCUGGAGCUUGCUCCAGUUGAUUAGUGGCGAACGGGUGAGUAACACGUGAGCAAUCUGCCCUUUACUCUGGGAUAACUGCGGGAAACUGUAGCUAAUACCGGAUACUUUCACCGGAAGGCAUCUUCUGGUGAUGAAAGAAUUUCGGGCAGGGAUGAGCUCGCGGGCUAUGAGCUUGUUGGUGAGGUAACGGCUCACCAAGGCGACGACGGGUAGCCGGCCUGAGAGGGUGACCGGCCACACUGGGACUGAGACACGGCCCAGACUUCUUCGAGAGGCAGCAGUGGGGUCUAUUGCACAGUGGGCGGAAGCCUGAUGCAGCAACGCCGCGUGAGGGAUGAAGGCCUUCGGGUUGUAAAGCUCUUUUUGUAGGGAAGAAGCAAAAGUGACGGUACCUGCAGAAAAAGCACCGGCUAACUACGUGCCAGCCGCCGCAGUAA
rnacentral:rRNA from 1 species